UACGUAGGGUGCAAGCGUUGUCCGGAAUUAUUGGGCGUAAAGAGCUCGUAGGCGGUUUGUCGCGUCGAAUGUGAAAACCCGGGGCUCAACCCCGGGCCUGCAUUCGAUACGGGCAGACUAGAGUUCGGUAGGGGAGUCUGGAAUUCCUGGUGUAGCGGUGAAAUGCGCAGAUAUCAGGAAGAACACCCGUGGCGAAGGCGGCUCUCUGGGACGGUACUGACGCUGAGACGCGAAAGCGUGGGGAGCGAACAGG
rnacentral:rRNA from 1 species